rnacentral:misc_RNA from 1 species
UGGCACCAAAAAGCAGAAAUAUGACAGGAUUAGUGAGAAGAAGAUGCUUACACCUAUAGAGGUGCUUUGCAAAUCCUAUCCUUCAGAAUUCAUAUCAUAUUUUCAUUAUUGCCGAUCAUUACGGUUUGAUGACAAGCCAGAUUACUCAUACCUAAAGAGGCUAUUCCGUGACCUUUUCAUUAGAGAGGGUUAUCAAUUUGACUAUGUGUUUGAUUGGACUAUCUUG